rnacentral:lncRNA from 1 species
CCCUAUCUCCGCGACCCCCACUCCUCCUCGGCUGUUCCCCAACCCUGUCACUGUGCUCCCCUCCCUACUCCCGGCCCGUAGUGGAGGUGACUUUCCUGCGCAGCGCCGCUUCUGAGGGCGGAGAACCCACAGGGAGUGCGACCCCUUUGCACGCUGUGAGUGGGCAACUGUCCGAGGGACUCGAGCCGAUCGAAGGCUGGACGCCCUAUAGGGCUCUUGGCAGUCCACGAAAGACCUGGAGUCCGCCUCCCCAUUUCUCCGGUCGGUGAGUGGCAGGAGGAAAUCGCCAAACAUGUUUUCCCGCUUUGCCUCCCCAACUCGGAAACUUGCAACUUGCCGUGUCCUGGAGGUUGAGACAAUUUGGGGUCUCUUGGCUGCCGUCCAACAGAUUUAUCUCUGAGGGCAGUGUCCUUGGUGAGAGGUCCAAGUAGGUGUGGGCGACAUUGUCCUCCAUCUCAUGAGGGAGCAGCCCUGCACACUAGGGCCCAAAACUCUGCGAAGGAGCUUGGAAGUUCUUCAUCCGUUCCACUUGUUUUGCUACUCCACACACCCUUCUAGGACAUGUUGAUUGCCAACUGCUCUGUGCAGCUUUCCCAUAGCUGUCUGUUCCCGUGCAUUUCGGAGCACCAAGCAAAUACGAGCAGAGAGACCUGGAAAAAAAAAUGAUGAAGACAGUAUUAAUGAUAAAAUUAACAUGGCUGAGUGAAUUGUCAAUGCAAGUUCCUUUACUAACUCUUUGUUAAGUUUUGCUUUGUACUCCUUACAUCCUCUUUCUCUUAAGCCAUUGUUUUAAUUUCUUCUCGUUAUCAUUUUUAAAAGUAACAGAAAUACAGCUUUCUUCCUACCUUCACGAUUGACUUGGUGGAGGUUGGGUUGCAAAGAGGAAGCAGUAAGAAAAAAUAAUUAUUCUAUACAUUCACAAGUCCUUCAAGGCACAAAAUAAAAGUAAGAAAUAGAAAAUAUGUCCUUUCUCCUAAUAAAGGUCUUUAUAAUAAAAUUUAAAUGAAGUUUUGUGUUUCAUAACAGCUUCCCAAAUACUGUUGUAGAUACUAAAAUGUGCCUGUAUGUAUUUCCUUCCACAAUAAUAAUAGUAAUAAUAAACUUUUUUAGGUCCAAAUUAAACAUUUCUCAGCUUAAAUUUCUAUCCUCAAUCCA